GUAAAUACCAAAGAUACUCCUUAUCUUGGAUGGCAAGCUUUGCCAGUCAGCAUGUAGAGUUCAAUAUCUCCCAUGUA
rnacentral:tRNA from 1 species